GGCCAGGACCAGGGCGGUUGCCAGCUCACUCUGGGUGAUGGGCCAGGGCCCAGCAGCUCCGCUGUACCCCAGGGAGGCUGGGCGGGAGCUGGGGGUGCUGCUGGAAGGUGUGGACCUGGUGCUUGGGUGAAAGUCGUCCUCAUCAUCUGAGAGCCCUUCAAACAGGAAGCCACCUGGCAUAUCCCUAUAUGAGCUGGAGGGCAUGCUCUGGGAAGAGGAGUCAGUUCCCGGCAUUGGGGCACUGCCUGCUACCGAGUGCAGAACCAGGACAAUGGCAUUGACGAGGGCUGGGUCAGCAGGCACCAACGUAUCAAGCAUACUGGGAUCAGCAAAGACAGAGAAGAGGUCCUUGUCUUGGAGAACCCCAAGAGCAAUGGGGUCACUGCUGAGGCCUGGGGUGGCCACAAUGAUCUGAUCCAGAGAUUCCUUAUUGCUGAGUAUCUUAAAGACCCGGUUUUUGAUCAGGUUCGGGCCAGGACUUUCGCAGAAAGUGGACAGUGGACCCGGGUUGAAUGCCGUAGAAGUCAAGUGUCUGGUCAUCUUUUAGCUUCCGACCACAGUAGAUCAGAUCAAUCAGUUCAGGGUCUGGAACAGAUUCCUGGAGUUUGCGAGCAAUAAGCUGCUUCAGAAAUAAAAUACUAUAGCCCCCUAUCGAGUAUUCUCCC
rnacentral:lncRNA from 13 species